CACAAAUGUCAAACAAAACUAUCUAUCAAACGGUCGAACGCCAUUCUUAAAGGUUUUGUUUGUGUUUUUUUUUUACCUUGUUAUUCAACAAAAUGCAUACAGCAGUGCAUUUACUUUGGUUUUAGUUGUUACAACUAAUAAAGUACUCUUUGAAUUCGUGAGAGAAAAUUGAACGUCGGCAUGGGACUUUAACACUGUUGUUUGUUCGGUACAAGGGUGUACCAACAAUAAAAGGCCCAUAUUUGGUUUCCACAUCCCAUCAAUAGAUACAGGCCGUCAAGAACCCUGGAUAAUGUAGUUUGGAUUGCCAGUUGGCUAUCCAAGGUGCCGGAGGACAACAGCAGCAAUUUGUUGCAAAAUGGGUGAUUAAUUCUCAUAUUCUAUCUUGGAACCCUAAAAGGUCUAAAGUUAAUGUUCCUGUGAUUUUACUAAACAUGUUGAGAGGACCUUCACGAGGUAAAUCCUGAUUUUGGUCAUAAUUGAAGAGUUUGCUCUUAUCGCAUUUUAUAGUACCAAAAUGGUUAAUGUACUGGAUGGUACUAAUGGGUGGGAUUUAUACAGUCACUAAAAUGGAUGGUUACACCAUGGUAGAUAAACUUAAAGCUCUGUUUAAACGGGCGCACCCAAUUUUGCGGUUCAUUUGGAUGCACUGGAAGAGUAAAGCAAAUCAAGACGAGAGAGCACUGGGGGACACAGGGGAACGCGAAAAAGCAACUCAAAAUCGAACGAGUAAUUGAGUACAGAGUGGACCCCUACUAUUUGAAAAUGAACAAAAUGGGUUUAAGCCUCCAAGACUGGUUAUAACCGCAAAUAUACGAAAUACGUACAGUAAUAACGGGUUUAAGAGGAGUUUUCAUUUAUUGUCCAGAACGAAAUUCAUAAUUGUUUCAAUUCGGAAGAGGUGCUUUUAGGAAUGGGCCAUAUGUUUUUCCAGAAACUAAUAUACCGCAUGUUUUUCAUAGGAGGUUUAGUGAAAGCAAAGAUACCACAGAAAUGUAGUUUUUCCAAAAUUAUUUUUGUAUGAACCUAGUUGCAAGAUAUUUUUUUUAAUAAAGUG